rnacentral:rRNA from 1 species
UACGAAGGGGGCUAGCGUUGCUCGGAAUUACUGGGCGUAAAGCGCACUAGGCGGCUUGUUAAGUCGGAGGUGAAAUCCUGGAGCUCAACUCCAGAACUGCCUUCGAUACUGGCGAGCUCGAGUCCCGGGGAGAGGUGAGUGGAACUGCGAGUGUAGAGGUGAAAUUCGUAGAUAUUCGCAAGAACACCAGUGGCGAAGGCGGCUCACUGGCCCGGUACUGACGC